rnacentral:rRNA from 1 species
AUACGAAGGGACCUAGCGUAGUUCGGAAUUACUGGGCUUAAAGAGCUCGUAGGUGGUUAAAAAAGUUGAUGGUGAAAUCCCAAGGCUCAACCUUGGAACUGCCAUCAAAACUUUUUAGCUAGAGUGUGAUAGAGGUAAGUGGAAUUUCUAGUGUAGAGGUGAAAUUCGUAGAUAUUAGAAAGAACACCAAAUGCGAAGGCAACUUACUGGGUCACUACUGACACUGAGGAGCGAAAGCAUGGGUAGCGAAGAGGAUUAGAUACCCUCGUAGUCCAUGCCGUAAACGAUGUGUGCUAGACGUUGGAAAUAUAUUUUUCAGUGUCGCAGCGAAAGCAUUAAGCACACCGCCUGGGGAGUACGACCGCAAGGUUAAAACUCAAAUGAAUUGACGGGGACCCGCACAAGCAGUGGAGCAUGUGGUUUAAUUCGAAGAUACGCGCAGAACCUUACCAACACUUGACAUGUUCGUCGCGAGACUAAGAGAUUAGUCUUUUCAGUUCGGCUGGACGAAACACAGGUGC